AGUCGAACGGCAGCACGGGAGCAACCCUGGUGGCGAGUGGCGAACGGGUGAGUAAUACAUCGGAACGUGUCCUGUAGUGGGGGAUAGCCCGGCGAAAGCCGGAUUAAUACCGCAUACGCUCUGCGGAGGAAAGCGGGGGAUCCUUCGGGACCUCGCGCUACAGGGGCGGCCGAUGGCAGAUUAGCUAGUUGGUGGGGUAAAGGCCUACCAAGGCGACGAUCUGUAGCUGGUCUGAGAGGACGACCAGCCACACUGGGACUGAGACACGGCCCAGACUCCUACGGGAGGCAGCAGUGGGGAAUUUUGGACAAUGGGCGCAAGCCUGAUCCAGCAAUGCCGCGUGUGUGAAGAAGGCCUUCGGGUUGUAAAGCACUUUUGUCCGGAAAGAAAACCUCCGCCCUAAUAUGGUGGGGGGAUGACGGUACCGGAAGAAUAAGCACCGGCUAACUACGUGCCAGCAGCCGCGGUAAUACGUAGGGUGCAAGCGUUAAUCGGAAUUACUGGGCGUAAAGCGUGCGCAGGCGGUCCGCUAAGACAGAUGUGAAAUCCCCGGGCUUAACCUGGGAACUGCAUUUGUGACUGGCGGGCUAGAGUAUGGCAGAGGGGGGUAGAAUUCCACGUGUAGCAGUGAAAUGCGUAGAGAUGUGGAGGAAUACCGAUGGCGAAGGCAGCCCCCUGGGCCAAUACUGACGCUCAUGCACGAAAGCGUGGGGAGCAAACAGGAUUAGAUACCCUGGUAGUCCACGCCCUAAACGAUGUCAACUAGUUGUCGGGUCUUCAUUGACUUGGUAACGUAGCUAACGCGUGAAGUUGACCGCCUGGGGAGUACGGUCGCAAGAUUAAAACUCAAAGGAAUUGACGGGGACCCGCACAAGCGGUGGAUGAUGUGGAUUAAUUCGAUGCAACGCGAAAAACCUUACCUACCCUUGACAUGUAUGGAAUCCUGCCGAGAGGUGGGAGUGCCCGAAAGGGAGCCAUAACACAGGUGCUGCAUGGCUGUCGUCAGCUC
rnacentral:rRNA from 1 species